rnacentral:rRNA from 1 species
GACGAACGCUGGCGGCGUGCUUAACACAUGCAAGUCGAGCGGUAAGGCCCUUUCGGGGGUACACGAGCGGCGAACGGGUGAGUAACACGUGGGUGACCUGCCCUCAGCUCUGGGAUAAGCCCGGGAAACUGGGUCUAAUACCGGAUAUGACUUCAUGACGCAUGUUGUGGAGUGGAAAGCCUUGUGCGGCUGAGGAUGGGCCCGCGGCCUAUCAGCUUGUUGGUGGGGUGANGGCCUACCAAGGCGACGACGGGUAGCCGGCCUGAGAGGGCGACCGGCCACACUGGGACUGAGAUACGGCCCAGACUCCUACGGGAGGCAGCAGUGGGGAAUCUUGCGCAAUGGGCGAAAGCCUGACGCAGCGACG